rnacentral:rRNA from 1 species
UUGGACAAUGGGCGAAAGCCUGAUCCAGCCAUGCCGCGUGUGUGAAGAAGGCCUUCGGGUUGUAAAGCACUUUCAGUAGGGAGGAAAGUUGGUGGUUAAUACCCAUCAGCCCUGACGUUACCUACAGAAGAAGCACCGGCUAACUCCGUGCCAGCAGCCGCGGUAAUACGGAGGGUGCGAGCGUUAAUCGGAAUUACUGGGCGUAAAGCGUACGUAGGCUGUUACUUAAGCUAGAUGUGAAAGCCCCGGGCUCAACCUGGGAACUGCAUUUAGAACUGAGUAGCUAGAAUGUGUGAGAGGUAAGUGGAAUUUCCAGUGUAGCGGUGAAAAUGCGUAGAGAUUGGAAAGAACACCAGUGGCGAAGGCGACUUACUGGCAUAACAUUGACGCUGAGGUACGAAAGCGUGGGUAGCAAACAGGAUUAGAUACCCUGGUAG